rnacentral:rRNA from 1 species
GACGAACGCUGGCGGCGUGCCUAACACAUGCAAGUCGAGCGGGAGACUUCGGUCUCUAGCGGCGGACGGGUGAGUAACACGUGGGUAACCUGCCUUGUAGAGGGGGAUAGCCUUCCGAAAGGAAGAUUAAUACCGCAUAACAUUAUGCUAUCGCAUGAUAGAAUAAUCAAAGGAGCAAUCCGCUACAAGAUGGACCCGCGGCGCAUUAGCUAGUUGGUGAGGUAACGGCUCACCAAGGCAACGAUGCGUAGCCGGCCUGAGAGGGUGAACGGCCACAUUGGAACUGAGACACGGUCCAGACUCCUACGGGAGGCAGCAGUGGGGAAUAUUGCACAAUGGGCGAAAGCCUGAUGCAGCAACGCCGCGUGAGUGAUAAAGGCCUUCGGGUUGUAAAGCUCUGUCUUCUGGGACGAUAAUGACGGUACCAGAGGAGGAAGCCACGGCUAACUACGUGCCAGCAGCCGCGGUAAUACGUAGGUGGCAAGCGUUGUCCGGAUUUACUGGGCGUAAAGGAUGCGUAGGCGGAUACUUAAGUCAGAUGUGAAAUUCCCGGGCUUAACUUGGGAACUGCAUUUGAAACUGGGUAUCUAGAGUGUGGGAGAGGAAAGUGGAAUUCCUAGUGUAGCGGUGAAAUGCGUAGAGAUUAGGAAGAACACCAGUGGCGAAGGCGACUUUCUGGACCAUAACUGACGCUGAGGCAUGAAAGCGUGGGGAGCAAACAGGAUUAGAUACUCUGGUAGUCCACGCCGUAAACGAUGAAUACUAGGUGUGGGGGUUAUCAUGACCUCCGUGCCGCAGUUAACACAAUAAGUAUUCCGCCUGGGGAGUACGGUCGCAAGAUUAAAACUCAAAGGAAUUGACGGGGGCCCGCACAAGCAGCGGAGCAUGUGGUUUAAUUCGAAGCAACGCGAAGAACCUUACCUAGACUUGACAUCUCCUGAAUUACCGGUAAUG